AUUGAACGCUGGCGGCAGGCUUAACACAUGCAAGUCGAGCGGAGUGAUGGUGCUUGCACUAUUACUUAGCGGCGGACGGGUGAGUAAUGCUUAGGAAUCUGCCAUUUAGUGGGGGACAACAUUCCGAAAGGAAUGCUAAUACCGCAUACGUCCUACGGGAGAAAGCAGGGGAUCUUCGGACCUUGCGCUAAAUGAUGAGCCUAAGUCGGAUUAGCUAGUUGGUGGGGUAAAGGCCUACCAAGGCGACGAUCUGUAGCGGGUCUGAGAGGAUGAUCCGCCACACUGGGACUGAGACACGGCCCAGACUCCGACGGGAGGCAGCAGUGGGGAAUAUUGGACAAUGGGCGGAAGCCUGAUCCAGCCAUGCCGCGUGUGUGAAGAAGGCCUUUUGGUUGUAAAGCACUUUAAGCGAGGAGGAGGCUCUCCUAGUUAAUACCUAGGAAGAGUGGACGUUACUCGCAGAAUAAGCACCGGCUAACUCUGUGCCAGCCGCCGCAGUAAGAC
rnacentral:rRNA from 1 species